UAUUAACGAAAAAUUUUUCUUUCACUAAAAAUUAAAUAAAUUAUUUAUUUUUAUUAAAUAAAAUUAUUU
rnacentral:tRNA from 1 species